GCGCGCCGCCGCCGGUGUCCGCUGUCAGACGGUCUUCCACUUCGACCUCCAGUUCGUCCUCGGUGGUCGCAGGAUGAUGAUGUUGAUGCCAUCCGUGAGACCCGGGAAGUCCCGCUAAGGUGGUGUCUAUUUCCAAAUCUGUUGACCUUGAACUCGGCCGUAUGACUUGAUGGAGCCAAUGGAGAGUGCAGAAGUUACAAUGUGCCAGUUCCAAGCCUUGGCUUCAAGGGGCCAAGCCUGCCCCUGCUUGCACUCUUGCACCUCUGCCAUCACCAUGAGAUCACCCCUGGGAAAGCCCACUGAUCCCAGCAGGAAGAUGAGGGCAUGUGGAUCAGAGACUUGCCAGCUAAGGUGAAACAGCUCAGCCCAGGCUAGAAGAGCACCCCUGCACACACCCUCAUAACUUGCAAACUCCAAUAAGAUCAGCUAAGCCUCAGCCUUGUGUCACCUGAAUGAAGUAAAAGCUUCUGCUGUGUGCUGCUGGGGUUGGGGGAAUGUUUGUUACCCAGCAUUAUUGAAACCAUAAGUAACUCACACAGAACCCUACAGAAAUCUGUGCGGUCUUCUUCCUACUGUAUUUACAUAGUGAUCCACUACUUCAGUCAAUAAACUGCUAGCACACAGA